rnacentral:rRNA from 1 species
GACGUAGGGCGCGAGCGUUGUCCGGAUUUAUUGGGCGUAAAGAGCUCGUAGGCGGCUUGUCGCGUCGUCCGUGAAAACUCGGGGCUCAACCCCGAGCUUGCGGUCGAUACGGGCAGGCUCGAGUUCGGUAGGGGAGACUGGAAUUCCUGGUGUAGCGGUGAAAUGCGCAGAUAUCAGGAGGAACACCGGUGGCGAAGGCGGGUCUCUGGGCCGAUAUUGACGCUGAGACGCGAAAGCGUGGGGAGCAAACAGG